CACCCAACAGCUAGCCCAGAAAAUUUAAGGCCUAAUAAAACAAGAUUAUUAUACCACCAAUAACCCACCCUCCCCACAAUUAAAUCAUUCUCCCCCCUUAGUAUAGGAGAUAGAACAAGGGAAAAUAG
rnacentral:rRNA from 1 species